GUUUUAGUAGUUUAUAUAAAAACAUUGGUCUUGUAAACCAAUAAUAAGGUACCCUUCUAAAACU
rnacentral:tRNA from 2 species